rnacentral:lncRNA from 1 species
GCCUCUGGCUCUGCAUCUGUAAAAUGGACUUUACAUUCAGUUUCUUUAUCUGGCAAUAAGAAAGGCUUUAUAGCUACUCCCAGGGAUGCAUAAAGCACGGCAAACCAACAAAGGCCAAGAGGAGGUGAGAAAGAAAAACAAGGAGACAACCAUCAAAUGGAGCCCUGGGCCCGAAUCUUCAAAUUGCUCCUGUCUUCUCCUUCUAAGAGGUGCCACCUGCAGUGGGUCAUGCUCCUGGCUGAUGCUGCUAGAAAAAGAACUCAUCUGUAUCAC